rnacentral:rRNA from 1 species
UACGAAGGGGGCUAGCGUUGUUCGGAAUUACUGGGCGUAAAGGGCGCGUAGGCGGUACUUCAAGUCAGGCGUGAAAGCCCCGGGCUCAACCUGGGAACCGCGCUUGAGACUGGAGAACUAGAGUUCGGGAGAGGAUGGUGGAAUUCCCAGUGUAGAGGUGAAAUUCGUAGAUAUUCGCAAGAACACCAGUGGCGAAGGCGGCUCACUGGCCCGAUACUGACGCUGAGGCACGAAAGCGUGGGGAGCAAAGCAGGA